CCUACGGGAUGCAGCAGUGGGGAAUAUUGCACAAUGGGGGAAACCCUGAUGCAGCGACGCCGCGUGAGUGAAGAAGUAUUUCGGUAUGUAAAGCUCUAUCAGCCGGGAAGAAGCCAGACGGUACCUGACUAAGAAGCCCCGGCUAACUACGUGCCAGUAGCCGCGGUAAUACGUAGGGGGCAAGCGUUAUCCGGAUUUACUGGGUGUAAAGGGAGCGUAGACGGUAUGGCAAGUCUGAAGUGAAAGCCCAGGUCUUAACCCUGGGACUGCUUUGGAACCUGUUAGACUAGAGUGCUGGAGAGGUAAGUGGAAUGCGUAGUGGAGCGGUGAAAUGCGUAGAUAUUAGGAGGAACACCAGUGGCGAAGGCGGCUUACUGGACAGUAACUGACGUUGAGGCUCGAAAGCGUGGGGAGCAAACAGGAUUAGAUACCCGGGUAGUC
rnacentral:rRNA from 1 species